GAUGAAGAACGCAGCGAAAUGCGAUAAGUAGUGUGAAUUGCAGAAUUCAGUGAAUCAUCGAAUCUUUGAACGCACAUUGCGCCCCUUGGUAUUCCAUGGGGCAUGCCUGUUCGAGCGUCAUUUGUACCUUCAAGCUCUGCUUGGUGUUGGGUGUUUGUCUCGCCUCCGCGUGUAGACUCGCCUCAAAACGAUUGGCAGCCGGCGUAUUGAUUUCGGAGCGCAGUACAUCUCGCGCUUUGCACUCACAACGACGGCGUCCAGAAGUACAUUUUUACACUCUUGACCUCGGAUCAGGUAGGGAUACCCGCUGAACUUAAGCAUAUCAAUAAGCGGAGGA
rnacentral:misc_RNA from 1 species